AAUAUUGGACAAUGGGGGCAACCCUGAUCCAGCCAUGCCGCGUGAGUGACGAAGGCCUUAGGUUUGUAAAUCCCUUUUGGCGGGGACGAUAAUGACGGUACCCUCAGAAUAAGCCCCUGCCAACUUCGCGCCAUCAGCCGCGGUAAUACGAAGGGGGCUAGCCUUGUUCGGAAUGACUGGGCGUAAAGAGCACGUAGGCGGACUUGUUAGGCAGGGGUGAAAUCCCGGGGCUCAACCUCGGAACUGCCUUUGAAACUGCAAGUCUUGAGUCCGAGAGAGGUGAGUGGAAUUCCUAGUGUAGAGGUGAAAUUCGUAGAUAUUAGGAAGAACACCAGUGGCGAAGGCGGCUCACUGGCUCGGUACUGACGCUGAGGUGCGAAAGCGUGGGGAGCAAACA
rnacentral:rRNA from 1 species